rnacentral:lncRNA from 1 species
CAAAGUGGCAGUGAGGGUGAGGGGGAGGAGAGGUUAACUAUUGGGAGAACCAAGCGAGGCUCUGUAAAAGAGCUUCAUUUGAGCUGAAACUUGAAGAGAGCUGGCAGGGUUUUAGAGGUCGAAGUGAGGAGGGGGUUAAAGUGGAGGCUUGGAGGACAGCCUCGACAAGGUGGUUAGAUGUAAUUCUGCAGAGAGGGCACAGCGAAAAUCCCAGGUGAAGAAUGCUCAUUUUACAGAUGAAGAAAUGAGGCAAACAAGUUUAAGCAACUCACCCAGAGUCACUCAACUCGUAAAUAUCCAAGCUGACCACUAUCAUUGCAACAUCUCCCAGUCUUCAGCAUUCUCUUGUCAGACAUAA